CCGAGACGAUUUACAGGCGCUACGAACCGGAGCAAGGACUAAUCUCGCCUCAUAAUGAGGCCGUGACCUCGUAUUUGCUCCGGCAAAAGUCCAGAUUUCGAUUUAGAUAAAGACGUCAUUGUGUCCGCCUGUAAUACGUAUUUUGAGACGGGACGCAGGAGCUUCAGGUUCAG